CAUAAAUUUCAUUUGGUAAAUAUCAUUUGCUUGUUCAUCUUCCGCCACCGCCGCAGGGAAAUGGGCAUCGUCAUCAUUUCUUUCAGCCUUCGGCCUUCAACCUCCCUUCUAUCCCUUUUCUUCAUCCUUCAUCGUUUCUUCCCUAAACCCUAGCAUCAGGGCGAUUUUCACACGUCGUGCUUUCACCGUCUCAAUGUCGCGUUGAUUACGUCGCACCACUCUGUCCACACCGCCCCCCAUCUGGUCUGACCACGCCGCUGGUUUCGUCGGGACUAACGUGUCCGCCGCUCUGAACCGUCGCGACGAUUCACGCCAGGCCCUUUUCCCCAUCUUGGCUCUGCUUCCAUCAACUUGGUUGGAAUUGAAUCCUUCUUCUUGAUGGUGAACAGGGACUAACAAUAUCCUUGAUAAAUGUAGUCAAACAAUAUCAUCCAGACAAAAAUCAUGGAAAAAAAGAGGUAUUGCAUCUAUCUUUGGAGAGAAUCAAAGCUGUCUUUGUUCAGUAGUUGUCUUGAAGCCACCAAGGGUGUGCUGGGGGUGCAUGUCUCAAGAUUGAAAGUGACAAUCUGAUGCUUGAAGAUUAUAGAACAUGAAAGAUUAUGUUGAAUAGGAAUUAUGUACUCUUAUUGAAUUCACACUAUUGAACUCCAAUAGUUGCCCGAUGAUGUAACAAAAGUUUUGAUUGCAAUAAGAUUAGACUUUGAAAUCCAA